GCCUGAGCUUGGCGGUAGCUGCUGGAAGCUCAGGGAGGCUUUCUUCGGGAGAUUAGACUGCGGCCGGCUCUGUAGGCCAAGGCCUUCUCUGUGGCUGCCCAAGGCGGAUCCUGAUGAAAAGAGGCAGUCCAUGGUUUCCAGGCGUUUAUUGUCAUGGCGGAAAAUGGAUGAGUAAAGCCGUACCCUACCUACUUCUCAGAGUGGGCCUGAGAUUAAGUACUGUUUACAGGGAGGAGUGUCUGGGAAGGGAAAUUCAUUGGCUAAGCCUCCAGGCCUUUAGAUACCUCAAUAUAAUGGCGAUCUGUCUUGAGUCUAUGUGACUUGUGGUCAGGUCCUCUACCUGUUAAGGGGCUUGGGGCAUUGCCCUUACGUGACUGGUGGUCACAAAUCUAUGGAGGGCUGCGGAUAGUGACUAGCCUGGUUUCCUAGGAGUCAGGUUAAACGCCUACCAUCCCUCGGGGUCUCCGGAAUUUCAAACAUCCUCAGCUGGGAACCAGGGUCUUUCACUGUCCCACACAUGGCAUCAUAGUCAACGAUAGAUUAACAUGUGUAGCUUUAUCUAAAAUCUAUUCCCUUCUGGUGACAGAACUCAUGCCUUCUUCACUGAAACUGCCCUUACUGCGCAUGUAUCUGGAUGGAAUAUAUCUAUUCCAGGAUUUUAUGAGAGGCUUAGGGCUAGCUAACCUAAGCAUUGGAUUCAUUUUCUCUGGCUAUCUUAGCUACUGCCCUUUGGCUGCGAAGGGACAACACGAUCAAGGCGACUCUUAUAAAAGAAAGCAUUUAAUUGAGAGCUUGCUCACAGUUUAGUACAGCGGUUUCUCCACCUUCCUUUAAUACAGUUCCUCAUGUGGUGGUGACUUCCAAGCAUACCAUUAUUCUCAUUGCUACUUCAGAACUGUAAUUUCCUGCUCUUAUGAAUAGGUCGUAAUAUAGCUAUCUGUGUUUUCUAAUAGUCUUAGGCAAUCCCUGUGAAACGGUUGUUUGAUGUCUGCCCCACUAAGGGUUGCAACCCACGGGCUGAAAACUGCUGGUUUGGAGGAUUAGUCCAUGAUCUCUGUGGUGGUAAGCAGACAGGAAUGAUACUGGAGCCACAGCUGAGGGCUUUACAUCCUGAUUUGCACCAGCAGGCAGAGAUGGAGGGAGACGACAGAGACUGAGCCUGGUGUGGGUUUCGAAACCUCAAAGCUCAUCCUCGGUGACACAUGUGCUCCAUCAAGGCCACACCCACUCCAAAAUGCCACACCUUCCAAUCCUUUCCAAGCAGUUCCACUAACUAGGGAGCAAGCAUUCAAUGUAUGAGCCUAUGGGGGGUGGCCAGCCUCAUUCACACCACCACACGGACCACACUGAUGGACUUGGGGGAUGCGCACGUAAGCCGAGGAGGCCUGAUGUGUUUUCUAAUAGUCUUAGGCAAUCCCCGUGAAACGGUUGUUUGACGUCUGCCCCACUAAGGGUUGCAACCCACGGGCUGAAAACUGCUGGUUUGGAGGAUUAGUCCAUGAUCUCUGUGGUGGUAAGCAGACAGGAAUGAUACUGUUCUAGGAAUGAUACCCGAGGUUUUGCUUUGAGCUGCAAGGAAGACAAACCGUGAAUGCUCUCACUCAGCUAUAGAAAGUGAGCUUGCAGGUGCCGAGACAAUGGAGAAAAGCGUGCCCAAGACUGAGGACUUAAGCUAAGGCGAAGGGAGACACCCAGUGCCACAGGCAUGGUUAUAGCCCCUGAAGCUAGUUGAGUUGCCAGUUCCUCACAUGGAUGGAAUUGUUAUCAUUUCCUUAAGCCAACGUGGAGUUUGCUAACGCUUGUUUUUAAAUGAAUAUUUGUUUACUUAUUUAAAGGUUUAGUCAUUUUACGUGUUCAUGUGCUCCAUCUUCAGGAUCACCAUAGCAGGGCAUCGGAUUCCAUUAUCAGAUUCUGAACUACCAUGUGCUUGCUGGGAAUUGAACUUGGGACGUCUGGAAGGGCGGGGUUUCUAACCAUUGAGCCAUCUCUCCGUAUCCAUGAAAUUUUAUUUUUGACACAGACUGUGGUCAUAUCUCUCAAGCUUGUCUAGAAUACCUAAUCCUCCCAUCUCAGCCUCGUGAGUGCUGCGAUUGUAGGAGCAGCCUUCAGCCUGUCUACUGUGUUACAAGACAGAAGAGUGCACGUGUAGCUUUCAGCGUGGCACUGUGAACAUCUUCCCAGAUGUUGGAAGAAGCUGCAUAAAAACAGUCUCCUUAGUCACCCGUGCUCCACUCUGACUAGAGUAGAUGGCAGGAGCCACCUCAGACACUCCCCUGCUGGUGAGGACAGCUACGUUUCAGCUCCUAGGUCCAUCUACAACUGAAAUGGUGUCUGGAACUGAGAGGGUCCUCAGCAGAUCCUUACACCUGCCAUAGCCGACUGGGAAGGUGAGAAAUGGAGCCUCUGUCGUCUUCUUCCGUUCUGUUCAGCAUACAUCUGGCACCUGGUGAAGGCCGCUUGGUGUGUUGAUAAUGACUCGUGGAAAAUACACCAUAAGAGUCCAAGUGAGGAAAAGAAAGACUCAGGUGUGGUGAACAGCCAGCCACACACCCAGACUGGCCUUCUCCAUAAUAGAAUGGAGCUCUUUCUCCCUCAGUGCAGUUGAACAAACCAAUCCAAGUGAGGAAACCUCAGGGAAGGAGUGGCUUUCACUUCCCUAAGCAGCCUAGCCUAUCUCCUCUUAACCCCUGUGACCCUCAAAACCCAGUAAAUUCCUUCUUUUAUCUAUCUCAAAUCCUUUCUAUUACUCUCUAAGCCAAUUUUCUCGUGUACUGUAUUCAGUGGGAAUUGGAAACAGCUGGUCACCAUCUGCUGUAGAUUAACUCUUCAUGUACUUGAAGCCUAUAAUUAGGUCAUCGCUCAGCCUUCUCUUCUCCAGGCAAAAUAGCUCCUUUCCUUUAACCCUUCCCUGAAGGUUUUGUUUUCCAAUUAUUUAAUUGUUCUCUGUAGUGUUGCCCAAGAGUCUGCACUCUUCACACAUCUCCAGUCAAGGGCUGGGUCAUCGGGAAGGGUCAAGGAGUGUUGAAAGUCACCAUUGUCACUUUCCGAGGGUCUUUUUUCCGAGUUUAUUUUCAGAGGGCCAUUUAGUUUUUAAUGAUUAUAACUUAAUUUGUUUGGUUCUUAAUUAAAAUACAAAACACCAUUUCCCCUACCCUCUUCUUUCAUGCUCCCCCUGCCCCCACCUAAAAUUCAUGGUCCCCCGUUUCUUUAAUUAUUAUUGUUUCAUACAUAGAUUAUAUAUGCACAUGAAUAAAUGAACACAUGAAUGCUGA